rnacentral:rRNA from 1 species
AAGUGGAUUAGUGGCGCACGGGUGAGUAACGCAUAGGUAAUAUGCCUCAUAGUCUAGGAUAGCCACUGGAAACGGUGAUUAAUACUGGAUACUCCCUAUGGGGGAAAGUUUUUCGCUAUGAGAUUAGCCUAUGUCCUAUCAGCUUGUUGGUGAGGUAAUGGCUCACCAAGGCUAUGACGGGUAUCCGGCCUGAGAGGGUGAYCGGACGCACUGGAACUGAGACACGGUCCAGACUCCUACGGGAGGCAGCAGUAGGGAAUAUUGCUCAAUGGGGGAAACCCUGAAGCAGCAACGCCGCGUGGAGGAUGAAGGUUUUAGGAUUGUAAACUCCUUUUGUUAGAGAAGAUA